AAGGAGGAAAGUAAAAAGGUGGUCAAGAAAACUUUACAAGAUGAAACUUUACAAGAGUUUGCUUUUUCAGUAAAUAACUUCAAACUAUGAAAAUCUCUAUAAAAGCCUUUUCUUCAUCUCAAAAUGUGUUGACAUGAAGUGAGAUGGAUGGCUGCUGUUGCAUUGAGUUGUAUGCCCCAGAGAAGGAGACUCCAGGCAAGGACAUGAGUCCAGUCCAGCCACCACCUCCACCCCACAAAAUGGCCUCCUGUUGAUGGGUGUAUGGGUGGGCAUGAAGCACUUUUCUCUUUACCCAGACGUGCCCUGAAAGGGAUGCCCUGAAAUACCCUGAUUUUAUUUAUGAUGAAAAACUGUUAAAAGAAAAGGAAAACAUGACUCAGUUCUCGGUUAUUUUUGUCACUACGUUAAGGCGGUGUUGUUAGCAGUAUCCCAAACACUGCAGCUGGCAGCACGCUGUGCUGAGCUGGACUGCCUUAGACAGAAGAAAAUAGGGCUGUUUUCAAUCACUGCUGAAUUUCUGUGCAAAAUCACCCCUUCUCAUUGUGUUAAACCCUGUCUUAACCCUCCUGGCUCAUGCAAAGGGCAAUUACUCUGCUCACAUAUCAUUGCAGCCUACUGCUUGGGUGAUUUCUGUGGGGCUGUGUCAGAUGCUGGAGUCUUGCAAGGUGACCUCUGCUGGGAGAACACCUCUUGCCGUGCACAGCCUCAGGGAGAGGUGAGGUUUUGCAAACUGGGAAGGGAAGGUGAGGAGCUGGCAAUUGGUGAUUGGCAGUUGGCCGUUAGCAACUGGCCUCUGGUAACGGGCCACAGAACAUUCUAGUGCAGCUGAGGGUAGUGGGCACAGGAAGCAGCUGAGUGAGGGGAGGCCUGGGGCACAGCCCGGCUCCUGAGAUGGCCGCUGCGGGGCAGCCUGGAUUCCACAUAGAACUGGUGGAUGUUGCAGCAGAAAUGGAAACUCUGUAUAUCAGCCUGCAGAGUUGGUCAUUUGAGAAUGAUGAAAACAGAAGAUGUUGAAGUCAUUUUAAUUCAUAUCUGGCAGUAAGCUGGGAAGAACAGCAGGGCAGUCACACACCGAACAAGUGAACCCAGAAAGGAAGUCAGCAUUAAAAACUAGACUGUGGAUAGUAAACCACAAUUACAAGGAGGUGAUACUGGUAAGAAAGAGGAGCUGUAAGUACUGAAACCUGAUGGAGCGCUGAACAGUUAAUGGAUCAUGUUAGGAAAGCUGUAUGAAGCAGUGUUGCUGAAUCACUCAUGUUGCUGGUGACUGUCCUUGUGGAAGAUUCUGCCUCACUGUCAGAUCAGAUACUGAGUUGUAAAUCACGUUUUCCUUCUGCACAUAAGUAGUAUACGGUUCCACCUCCACUGUGUCAUCCUAGUAAAACAAAACCAAUAAUUGUGAAUACAGGAAGUAGUUUAUUUUGACAAGUCUCUGCAAGCUUUUCAUCUGGAACGAAGAAAUUAACUGAGAAAUAACUCUCCCAUUCUAAUUCCUCCUUUGACUCCAAAAAAAAAAAAAAAAAAAAAAAAAAA